AUUGAACGCUGGCGGCAUGCCUUACACAUGCAAGUCGAACGGCAGCACGGGAGCAAUCCUGGUGGCGAGUGGCGAACGGGUGAGUAAUAUAUCGGAACGUGCCCAGUAGUGGGGGAUAACUGCUCGAAAGAGCAGCUAAUACCGCAUACGACCUGAGGGUGAAAGGGGGGGAUCGCAAGACCUCUCGCUAUUGGAGCGGCCGAUAUCAGAUUAGCUAGUUGGUGGGGUAAAGGCCUACCAAGGCAACGAUCUGUAGUUGGUCUGAGAGGACGACCAGCCACACUGGGACUGAGACACGGCCCAGACUCCUACGGGAGGCAGCAGUGGGGAAUUUUGGACAAUGGGCGCAAGCCUGAUCCAGCAAUGCCGCGUGCAGGAAGAAGGCCUUCGGGUUGUAAACUGCUUUUGUCAGGGAAGAAAUCCUCCAGGUUAAUACCCUUGGGGGGUUGACGGUACCUGAAGAAUAAGCACCGGCUAACUACGUGCCAGCCGCCGCGGUAAAAC
rnacentral:rRNA from 1 species